UUAAGACUGUGAGGAAGUUUGAUAUUUUCUGGGGCAUCUCUUAAACUGAUGCGUUUCCUUGAUGGUUGAAUAAGCAAGCUCAUCAAGACAUUAACUCUGAAAGUAUGUAUGGGCUACAUCACAAUCAGUCAAACUUAAACAAUUGAAGACAUUAACUCUGGUAAGGAUCAUACUCUUUGCCAACUUUAGUGGCUAAUAAAGUUGAAUGGCUCUAAUUAAGUCUACUAAGGGCCAAGUCUUGUUGAGUGCAAGACCUUUUAUCAUAAGACUCUUAGCCAAAUAUUUCAAUGAUUUAUUCCAUUUGAAAUAGCUAAAAGUUAUUUGUGAAUGAUAUAAAAUCCUCCAUCAAAAAAAUUGUAAAAUCAA